UGAGACCGAGGACCGAGGAGCGAGGAAAUGAAAAUAGUCGACCUGAGAAGCAGCCUAGGAGGGACCCCAGAGCCAAGGGCAGGCCGAGCAGACCGCCUUCUCCCGCCGCAGGCAGGAUCAAACUCUCGGUCCGGUGAUGGGCUCCGUGCAACAAGUCCCAGUCUGUGCGGGGAGCGGCGCCGUGCCCAUACUCCCUGUUCUGCACCACGGUGAUGCUGCUGUCAUCGCUCGCCUCUCCUCCAGUGGUGCCCUCGGCUCCCUCCGCCGCCACACUGCCCAGCACACUGGAGAUCACUAUCCCGUCGGGGGUCGCCAGUCUCUGGCACUGUUAUUCUGAAACGCGCAUGGUGGGGUUUGACGCUGUAGGAGGUCGGAACAAAACCGUGGCACAGCCAUAACACGGCACACACGGACCAACACAGUCUCACCCAGUGCUUGAAUUGGAAUAAAAAAGGUGCCAGUACUCUAAAUCAGCAA